CCCUUAUUCCAUUCACAAACAAAAGUGCGACUCUGUACCGCCGUUAAAACUGGUCGUGCGGCGACGUACUCUGAUUUUACUACACAGCUGUUUGAAUGAAAUGGAAGGGGAGGAGAGGGAAUGCAAAAAUACGCAUUUAUUAAUAUUUUCAAUGGCGGUGAUCUACAAUGGAAAAGACGGAGGAUGCUGCAGAUUCUGGUGGAAUAUUGGAAUGUGGCUACAGUUAGCUAUUGGGUAGGUGCUGAUGUAAUUUCUGGAGUUGGACAUGUGCAAGAUUAAACUUCUAGAGGAUAUUGAACUUCAAACUGGCCUUUGAUUUUGUUUAGAAUUCAAUACUAAUUCAACACCUGAGGAAAGUGAAGUGGAAGACCGAGAUCCUAUUGAAAGGUCAGGUAAGUCUCUUAUUAGAGAGUUAGGUGGAAAAGCAAGGACCAAAACCACCAAAGUUUUCGGGCUGAAGCCUUAGAUCUUUGGCGAGAAAUGCCCCUUGACAUUUUCAUUUAAAACUAAAAUUAUACACUAAUAGAAAUAAGAGUGUUAGGUUAUAAAAUUUUCUAAAAGAUAAUCCUAAUAAACAUUUUCAUAAGACAAUUCAUAAAUAUUCUUUUAGAAAAUUUUAUUGCUAACUUUAAAAUAAUAAAAACUAAAGUUUCGUUUCCUUACAGGUUGUUAAGACUUCAAGUGUCCCUGAGAAGGACGAACCGAAGGAACGAAAACACCAUAUAGAAGCCAAAUUCAGUGGAAUUCAUGGGAAUUGCAAGUAUUGUAAUGAAAUAUUUAAAACUUAAAUUUAUUACUAUUUGAAUCCCUACUAAAGUCCUUCGAACUUUUCUUCAGGUGGCAACAACUAUAACAACAACAAUAGAGAAGAUAAAUGAGAACGGAUAAUGAAGCAGAUAAUCCGGCGUAAGUUCCAAAAGAAAAUAUAAACUAAAAGAUUUUUGAUCCUUCAAACCAAAAAAAACUCAAAAGAAAAUGAAAGCAAAACUCAAAAUUUAAAAACUUAAAUAACUUGUAUGCGGGCGGCAUUUUCGGGUAAAUAAAAGUUCGCAGGUAAGAUUUCACAAUUUACAUUGCUGAUUUGUGUAUAGAUAUGACCUAAUUCUUUUUCCUAUUCUGGUUUCAGGAGAUGCAGAGUACUAACAAAUAACAAAACAACAAAAGGAUGAACAAGAACUAACUGUCUUUCUACAGCACGUACUAAUGAGGUGCAACUUGACCAGGAUUACGUUCUCCUAGUAUUCAAGGACUACCUUCCUAGACUUCCUGCAGAACUAAAACGUUCAAGGAUGGAAGUUUCUCGACGCCAGGUGGUUGCAGGAUGGUUUUCUGUCCGUCCGUUUUAUCGUCGGUUCGGGUAUUUCCGGUUUCCGGCAACCUAUGAGUUGAAAUGUACCGCGGGAUUAUUCCUAACUAGGCCUGAGCUCAAUCCUAUCAUUCUCGCGCACGCUUGGAACAAUUUCAUCCAGCGGACUGGCUUCGAGCAACUAACGCAAGGUAUGCCUAUUAACGUAUAUAUAUAUUUCUCUUUUUUUUUUGUUUUCUAAAAAAAUUUUUUUUUUUUAUAUAUUUUCUUUUUAUAUAUGGAAAUUAUUUAAAAGGGCUGGUUCCGUUCGUCCUGUCGUUCGGGUAAGAAGUACACUAUGUCGAAAACCUUAAUACCUGUGCACCACAGGACUGAUGGUGCGAAUUUGCCAGAGUAGUCCCACGAUGGAUGGAGCUGGCGAUGGCGUGGCUCAGCGUUGGCUGUUUUAGUUUUAUUAUCCUGUUUUACUUAAUUUGAUGUAUUACUUUAUUUAUUUUUAAGUUUUAUUUUAAGUUUAGUUUUAAAUUUGUAAUUUAUUAAAUGAAUAAUAAAAAAAUAAAAAAAAUUCAA